rnacentral:misc_RNA from 1 species
GUAGGUGAACCUGCGGAAGGAUCAUUACUGAAUGCUGCAAAGCGUAUACCAUUGUGUAAAAUAUUAUUUCGGGGGGCAACCUCUACUUAAACUAAACAACAUUUUUAAAAUAUUAGUCAGAUUAUAAAUUAAUAGAUCAAAACUUUCAACAACGGAUCUCUUGGUUCUC